CGCUGUCAGAACCUCAAGUGAAAUCUUUGGUAUGGCGGGAAACAUAUAAUAAAAAUCCUUAUGAACAUACACAACACAUUUUAUUUUCUUUCGCAUCGGAUCAAUAUCCUCUUGUCACCGCAUACAACUUGAUUAGUCUCAGUUUUAAGACUUUUUUUCAUGUGUAUACUUUUAUCUCCCAUUUCGGACUUUAAAUAUGGUUAAGAUAAAAAUUCUUGGGAUUACGGCGUUGUUAUGUGUGUUUGCUAUUUCUUUGUCCUCAACUUAUACAACCCGCGAAAAGCACAUUAUUCAUAUACCGUUUUAUAUUCAUCAUAUUCAUCACCAUCACAAACCUAUAGUCAAAUAUAAACCAAAAUUCAAAAAGUAUCGAGCAAAAAAAGUAAUUCACCGUUACCACAGUUAUUGGUACUGAAAUUUCUCAAUAAGAAAGUAACUCCAUAGCAAAAAAACGACUACAAUUAUUUUUAAAUUUAGUAUGACUUGUUAAGUUUUGAGAAUAUUAAAUACAAAAGUCGGAUUAACAAUA